UACGGAGGGUGCAAGCGUUAAUCGGAAUUACUGGGCGUAAAGCGCGCGUAGGCGGUUUGUUAAGUCGGAUGUGAAAUCCCCGGGCUCAACCUGGGAAUUGCAUUCGAUACUGGCAAGCUAGAGUAUGGUAGAGGGAAGUGGAAUUCCAGGCGUAGCGGUGAAAUGCGUAGAUAUCUGGAGGAACAUCAGUGGCGAAGGCGACUUCCUGGACCAAUACUGACGCUGAGGUGCGAAAGCGUGGGGAGCAAACAGG
rnacentral:rRNA from 1 species